rnacentral:snRNA from 1 species
GUGCUCUCUUCUGCAGCACAUACCGUAUACUAAAACUAGAACGAUACAAGGAUGGCCCCUGCGCAAUGUUGACACGAAAGUUGUGAAGCGUUCCCUAUUUUA